AUUGAACGCUGGCGGCAGGCCUAACACAUGCAAGUCGAGCGGAUGAAGGGAGCUUGCUCCUGGAUUCAGCGGCGGACGGGUGAGUAAUGCCUAGGAAUCUGCCUGGUAGUGGGGGAUAACGUCCGGAAACGGGCGCUAAUACCGCAUACGUCCUGAGGGAGAAAGUGGGGGAUCUUCGGACCUCACGCUAUCAGAUGAGCCUAGGUCGGAUUAGCUAGGUGGUGGGGUAAAGGCCUACCAAGGCGACGAUCCGUAACUGGUCUGAGAGGAUGAUCAGUCACACUGGAACUGAGACACGGUCCAGACUCCUACGGGAGGCAGCAGUGGGGAAUAUUGGACAAUGGGCGAAAGCCUGAUCCAGCCAUGCCGCGUGUGUGAAGAAGGUCUUCGGAUUGUAAAGCACUUUAAGUUGGGAGGAAGGGCAGUAAGUUAAUACCUUGCUGUUUUGACGUUACCAACAGAAUAAGCACCGGCUAACUUCGUG
rnacentral:rRNA from 1 species